rnacentral:rRNA from 1 species
GUGGGGAAUAUUGGACAAUGGGGGGAACCCUGAUCCAGCCAUGCCGCGUGUGUGAAGAAGGCCUUUUGGUUGUAAAGCACUUUAAGCGAGGAGGAGGCUACCGAGAUUAAUACUCUUGGAUAGUGGACGUUACUCGCAGAAUAAGCACCGGCUAACUCUGUGCCAGCAGCCGCGGUAAUACAGAGGGUGCAAGCGUUAAUCGGAUUUACUGGGCGUAAAGCGCGCGUAGGUGGCCAAUUAAGUCAAAUGUGAAAUCCCCGAGCUUAACUUAGGAAUUGCAUUCGAUACUGGUUGGCUAGAGUAUGGGAGAUGAUGGUAGAAUUCCAGGUGUAGCGGUGAAAUGCGUAGAGAUCUGGAGGAAUACCGAUGGCGAAGGCAGCCAUCUGGCCUAAUACUGACACUGAGGUGCGAAAGCAUGGGGAGCAAACAGGAUUAGAAACCCUUGUAGUCC